CACGUAGGAGACUAGCGUUAUUCGGAUUUACUGGGCGUAAAGCGCGUGUAGGCGGUUCGGUAAGUUGGAUGUGAAAGCUCCUGGCUUAACUGGGAGAGGUCGUUCAAAACUACCGGACUUGAGAGUGGUAGAGGGAGUUGGAAUUCCGGGUGUAGUGGUAAAAUGCGUAGAUAUCCGGAAGAACACCAGUGGCGAAAGCGGACUCCUGGACCAUUUCUGACGCUCAGACGCGAAAGCUAGGGUAGCGAACGGG
rnacentral:rRNA from 1 species